rnacentral:rRNA from 1 species
GAUGAACGCUGGCGGCGUGCUUAACACAUGCAAGUCGAACGAGAAUCAACGGAUUGAGGAUUCGUCCAAAUGAAGUUGAGGAAAGUGGCGGACGGGUGAGUAACGCGUGAGGAACCUGCCUCAAAGAGGGGGACAACAGUUGGAAACGACUGCUAAUACCGCAUAAGCCCACAGCUCGGCAUCGAGCAGAGGGAAAAGGAGUGAUCCGCUUUGAGAUGGCCUCGCGUCCGAUUAGCUGGUUGGUGAGGUAACGGCCCACCAAGGCGACGAUCGGUAGCCGGACUGAGAGGUUGAACGGCCACAUUGGGACUGAGACACGGCCCAG